AGACGCUGAGUCUCAGAAAGCCUGGAGUUUAGCAGUGAAGAGACUGCAUUGCAUAGGACAACAGUUUCAACGUUAGAAGAGCACCGAAUGCCCCACUGGAGCAGAGUGACUAGACUGUCAUUGGAAAGUAACGAAACACCUGAAUUUAAGGGACUUUUGUUCAGUUUUGUCUUCCCAGUGCUUGGAAACAAGCAGAAAGGAUGGAGAUUAACAUUUUGGAGAAACUCAGAAACCUGUACUGCUCUUCAGUAACUACUUACUCCUACCAUUUAAUCCUCAGAAACCUGGAAGGGCAAACGUGGAAAAUGAUGCAGUAGUUAUUUUUGCUGACUAAUAAAAUAAGACUGAUAAAUACCUAAGCACAUGAGGGGUGAUGACUCUGGAUAUGAACCUAAAAUUUGGAAGAACAGACCCCAUGCUCGUGUUGUCAGAUAGAAAUCACCAAUAUCCCACUUUUCUUUGAGUGUAGAGAGCAGAACAAUAAACUUGACUUGGAAUGAGAA